CUCAGACAGCCAGGAUGUUGGCUUAGAAGCAGCCAUCAUUUAAAGAAAGCGUAAUAGCUCACUGGUCGAGUCGGCCUGCGCGGAAGAUGUAACGGGGCUAAACUAUGCACCGAAGCUGCGGCAGCGAUAUGUAAAUAUUGUUGGGUAGGGGAGCGUUCUGUAAGCCUGUGAAGGUGUGCUGUGAGGCAUGCUGGAGGUAUCAGAAGUGCGAAUGCUGACAUAAGUAACGAUAAUGCGGGUGAAAAACCCGCACGCCGGAAGACCAAGGGUUCCUGUCCAACGUUAAUCGGGGCAGGGUGAGUCGACCCCUAAGGCGAGGCAGAAAUGCGUAGUCGAUGGGAAACGGGUUAAUAUUCCCGUACUGGUGAUAAUUGCGAUGGGGGGACGGAGAAGGCUAGGCUAUCCGGGCGACGGUUGUCCCGGUUUAAGGAUGUAGGCAGGUGAAUUAGGCAAAUCCGGUUCACUAUAUGCUGAGGUCCGACGACGAGUCACUACGGUGAUGAAGUAGCUCAUGCCCCGCUUCCAGGAAAAGCCUCUAAGCUCUAGAUUAUCAUUAAUCGUACCCCAAACCGACACAGGUGGUCAGGUAGAGAAUACUCAGGCGCUUGA
rnacentral:rRNA from 1 species